GGCAUAAGCCAGCUUGACUGCGAGCGUGACGGCGCGAGCAGGUGCGAAAGCAGGUCAUAGUGAUCCGGUGGUUCUGAAUGGAAGGGCCAUCGCUCAACGGAUAAAAGGUACUCCGGGGAUAACAGGCUGAUACCGCCCAAGAGUUCAUAUCGACGGCGGUGUUUGGCACCUCGAUGUCGGCUCAUCACAUCCUGGGGCUGAAGUAGGUCCCAAGGGUAUGGCUGUUCGCCAUUUAAAGUGGUACGCGAGCUGGGUUUAGAACGUCGUGAGACAGUUCGGUCCCUAUCUGCCGUGGGCGCUGGAGAACUGAGGGGGGCUGCUCCUAGUACGAGAGGACCGGAGUGGACGCAUCACUGGUGUUCGGGUUGUCAUGCCAAUGGCACUGCCCGGUAGCUAAAUGCGGAAGAGAUAAGUGCUGAAAGCAUCUAAGCACGAAACUUGCCCCGAGAUGAGUUCUCCCUGACCCUUUAAGGGUCCUGAAGGAACGUUGAAGACGACGACGUUGAUAGGCCGGGUGUGUAAGCGCAGCGAUGCGUUGAGCUAACCGGUACUAAUGAACCGUGAGGCUUAACCUUACAACGCCGAAGGUGUUU
rnacentral:rRNA from 1 species